rnacentral:lncRNA from 1 species
AGAAUAUGUGUUAAAGGUAAAAAAAAUUUGGUAUUUAGUCACUAAAUUGUUGUGGCUAAAUGCUUUGAAUUGAGCUUGUUUGGUUUCAGUUUUCGAUGUUUUCUAGGUUUAUAUAAUAAGGAGUGGAAAGUAUUAAAAUUGAUAAGUUUUCUUGUCAGAGAGACAAUUCUUUGUUUGUUGUGGGAUUUGAUUUCUUAAAGUUAAUAAAUGGUUGGUUAUUCCUUUGUGUUUGUUGAACUUCAAUUAUAUACAAGGAAUAACUUCUUAAUACAAUUGUUCUUUGUCUUGUCCACACACUUACAAUGCUACGUAUACUAGCCACGCGAAAUGUUAUUCAUGGAUACUAACAAUUCAUAUUCUAUGGAAAUUUAUCCAAAAUUUUGUAAAAGUUUGAUGCCUAUACAUGCAUAUAUUUUGAGUGUUGAUAUUAGAAGUUAUUCAAGUCUGUUUGUUGCUUACUUUCUUGAGUGUAUUGAGUUGAAAUUGUUUAUUAUACACACUUGAGAGAUACACAUUUUGUGAGGUUCUAUUACUUUUAAUUCACCUCUUGAACUGAUUGAUUAUUUUUUCAUGUCUUGAAAUGUUUGGAUGAUUUUCAUGAAUAUCUGGUAUACGUGAUUCUUUGUGUAUUGGAUGUUGUCUACUCCUUUUCUUUUUUCAGGAUUCAUUGAGAAUUGUGUGCAUCUGUUUGUUUACUUGUGUGUCUUUUUGUGUUUGUUUCCUUUUGUUGUGUCACUCUCUUGAUGUCUUUCGAAUUGUUCCUUGAUCUGUGUCUUAAUUUUGCCAAAGAGUAUUUUGAUGAAUCAUUAUUUUCUCCUAUUCACUUAUCUUUCUCCACCAUAUGUAAUUGUUGAAUUGUGUUUAAUUAUUUAAUAUUUUCUCAAUUUUUUUAUUUGGGUUUAAUUCGACCAGUAAUUCAUAUUUUAAUUAAUUUAAAUUUUCUAAACUUAAUUAUUCUUAUUAUUAUUUUAAGGGCAAUUUUGGAAUUAUAUUUUGGACUUCAAGAGAUGCCACGUCAUCUACCAUUGUCCACCCUAGGUUUUUUCUUUUAUUUUUCUUUGUAUUUUUUUAUUGUAAUUUUGGACCAGACUUGGGCUUAGGCCCUAGAAAGGGGACAAACUUGCCUUGCGUAGGUUUUAGUACCCAUGCAACCAAUCUUGGAAGAGCUCUCUCAUUCUCUUUGGGACGUGAACAAUAACUAUUGAAGGUUUAUGUUUUGCUCUCGUUUUUCCUCUUCUCUUAGUCAAUUCAUUUUUGUAGUAAAAUUUAAUUAACUAAUUAUAUAUUAUUUUUUUCUUGUAGUAUUUUUCUAGUUGUAGAUGUC